CCUGAGAAACCCGAAAGAUCGAACGGGGAGAUUCAUCGUCAGCGACGUCGGCUUUUCGGCGGUUCGUGAUGCGAGCGGCGUCUUUACGGGCGUCCGCUUCGCACGCGUCCGUUGUGUUUUCUAUGUCCGGCGGCGUCGGCGUGCACUUCUCCCCUAGUAGGACGUCGCGACCCGUUGGGUGUCGGUCUACGGCCCGAGCUGUCGCCUGUCACGGACGUUUCGGCGUCGCGUGGCAGACACUCGGUCGCCCGGCCGGCUGCCCGGCGGUACUCGCACGGUAUCUGGCCGCAAUCGAACUGCGUCUUAGGCCCGUCGCAAGCGCGGCCAGUGUCACCGGGGUGGGCGGACCUAGCGCCGUCCCUCCGGGCCUGGCCCGUUGUUAGCCGACGGUGUUCUCUGACUGGCCGUAUAUAUGGAUACCGGUCGGCGACGCUACUGCUUUGGGUACUUUCAGG
rnacentral:rRNA from 1 species